UACGAAGGUGGCAAGCGUUACUCGGAAUUACUAGGCGUAAAGGGCAGGUAGGCGGUUUGGUUAGUCUGUUGUGAAAGCUCCUCGCUCAACGGGGAGAGGCCAACAGAUACUGCCAAGCUUGAGUAUGGGAGAGGGUACUGGAAUUCCCGGUGUAGCGGUGAAAUGCGCAGAGAUCGGGAGGAACACCAAUGGCGAAAGCAGGUACCUGGACCAUUACUGACGCUCAGCUGCGAAAGCUAGGGGAGCAAACAGG
rnacentral:rRNA from 1 species